GUAUAAAUACAGCAACGCCAGUGAGCACACUAUCAUUUGUGUUUCAGUCGUAUAACAAAGUGUUUGAAAGUCUCAAAGAAUCAAAUUGUGAAAAAGUGUAUUUUAUAGCUUGAAUUGAAUUGCUGAAAAAGUGUUUGUAGUGUGAAGAAUUCUGCCCAAAUGGCUGCCGGAAGUUGGUGUUUAGUGAGGAAAUUACAAGUACGGUUAGGCGAAGAACCGGGAGGCUAGCAGUGAGGCGACGUACAUACUCAAACAUGAGCUUUAUCUGGAAAAUCAAUGAGUACAGCAGAAAUCGAUAGGCGCAGGGCCGAUUUUUUUGGAAUUUUUUUUCCAACACAUUUGGUGGCUGUCCAUUGCAGCUGUUACUGCGUACCCUAGUUAACCACAAUUAGGCAGGCUGAGUUUCGUGAAAGGAAUCCCUAUGCAGGAACAAGCAAACAAGACAGACAGGCAGGCAGGCUUACAUAUAACAUGGGCACCGUUGUAUUGAGAACAAUGUGAAAGGCAGGCGUAAGAAACGAUUUCGUGCAGAAAGCUGCGUUGUAACAAAUGGUCUGUGUAAUGGUCUUGAGUAUGCCAUUGGAUUUGGGAAAAUGCGUAAGUUGUUGGGCGUCUUUGAAAUGCAAUUAAUUGUCGUUUUGUAUCACUUCCGCUACAUGCAAACAUAGAAAUGUAUAUAACUAAAUGUUAUUGCAGUUUGCUGUUAUUAAAACUGAAAAUCUACUCAGUAUUAAAGACAAUAAUUGAGCAUAGGCGCAGAGCUACUCCUUCGUUCGUAUUAAACUGAAGACAAAGCGAUCUCGAUAUACCCAUCUACAAAUAACCAAAGUACUCGCGGCAAAAUAUUAUUCUACUUUACUACGACAUUGUUGUUCUUCUUCUUCUACUGCCGCCAAUAAAAAGCCCUUGUCAUCGACGGUAGAGGAAUGCUAUGUUGCAGAAUUGGUAUUUGUUUUGUUCCACUUAACCUAGGAUAUACAGUUCAUAUAUAUAAUAAUACGUACGUUAAAAAUCAACCCCGAAUUUAGCACGAAUUGUUAAGAAACCUAACACAAUUGUUGUUUUUUUUUUUUGUAUUAUCAAAAACGUUGAAUUAUAUAUUUUAAAGGUUGAACGUGAAAAAAAAACAAAUCAAAUAACUCCAUAUGUACAUAGUAUGUCUUAAAGUUACAUAAAUCAAUUUUAUUGAAAUAUAAUUUUAAUGGUCUCUUACAUAAUUAUGUUAAAACAAAUUUACUGCGUUAUUUAUCAUAUAUUUAUAUGACCAAACAAACCAAUUUAUACAAAUCAAAACCAAACACAAUGCAGAGAAAAAAAAACAUAAAAUAAGCUAAAAAAAAGAAUAUGAAAAGCAUUACAAGCAAGGUAAAAAUAAAUAACUACUAUUCCUGCCCACUCUUUUAAGUCUUUAAUUAAUUAAACUCUUUAGGACCGACCCGUCGACCAAAGUGAGUACAAACGUAAAUAAUACAUAUACAUAAAUCAAAUUUUUAACGCACAUACAUUUAUAUAUAUAUAUUUUUUUUUUAAACCGUCGAUAUUAUAAUGCACCUGCCUGAAAUGGUAAUGAUUUUUUAACAUAUACCUUAUAAGAAACUAAGAAAUAACUACGCAAACUACAAGAAAAUACUUGCUACCUUAUAAAAAUAAUAAUACAAUAUAUUAAAUACUUGUAUAAAAGUAUAAAAUAAUAAAAAAAUAAAAUAUAUAAUACAACAAAGUAUUGUAGGGAAUGUGAGAUAUUAAAUCACAUAGUUUAUAAGGAGGGCAUAUAAAGCGCUUUAUAUUUUAAUUGAAACAAAACAGGGUGUUCUGAAAAUGCGUAAACAUAAAUUCUGCGAACACUGAAAAAAAUAUCUGAAUAUACACACUUAUAAAAUAAUCAAACGAUAACCAAACGAAAAUGCUAAGGCAAUAGGUAGGAAAAACUGAAAAAUCAAAUAAUAACAUUCUGGUGAAAUACCUUCAUCCAACAUUUCACACUGGUAUUUCGGGCUUAAAACAGCCUCAUUACAAUAUGAAAAAACUACAUAUCCUCGAUGAUUUCAUACAACAUCGUAUACAAUUCAUAAAAAACGUUGUUAAGAUGUUGUUUAUAAUAUUCUCUGUCAAUAUUUUUACAAAGAACCAGUUCUAAUUCUCGAACGAUCUGCAUAAACUCUCGUAAUCCUUACGGAUUUGACACAUCUUUGUUCGAUAAGUUUGAAUUCAAUAUCAAACUCUUCUUACUCAUACUACUCUAAAUGAAUUUGAUUCGUGUCAGUUGUAAGUUCCACUAUUCAAGCUUGUAUCAGAUUGAAUAAUGAGUAUAACUGAAGUCAUCCCACAAGCCAACUGAUAUUGUCCAACAUUGAACUUUAUGUUCCUCAUCUUAACUAUCAACCGAUAAUUAAAUGAAUUAUUGGGUUUUGUUCACUGUUUGAACUUAGUAACUUCGAGGAAGUAACUCAAUAUUUGACCUUUGGUUAUAGAGAGAAUUGAUUUUGUAAAAUGAACUCAAUAUGAUUUGACAUUAAUCGUAGCCUUAUCAAAUCUGUAUAUUUAUCUAUUAUAAGAUUGGCCGAAGUACUUCUGGAACUACCAUCGUAUUGAAAUCGAAAAUUAUUCCCAAUAACAUGGCAACUCCAAUGUAUAUUUCUUUAUUUUCGACCAUAACAAUUUGUUCAAAAGUUUCUAAACUAAUCUAUACAGAUUUUCUCUUCAAGUCCAAAUACCAUAUCUGAAAUGUUUCGAUGCAAUGUGGCAUAUUUCACCAGAAUAUUAACUAAUUUAUUACUUUAUUUUUUUUUUUUAAGUAAAUAAACAAUUCGAUGAAAAAGUCACAAUUCAUGAUUACUAUAAAAAUGAUUCCGAAAUUUAGGGGUUGAAUCCUAAGUGAAAUGGUAUAAAAGAAUAAGAGGUAUAAAAGUGAUUACUACCAAAUAAUCUUCGUGUAAGCGUUACAAAUGGCUAAAAAGCAUAAAAAUGGUUGAAAAAGCAUAAACGACUGCAAAGAGGGAAAAAAGUGAAUAAGAAUGCGAAUAUUAUAAAAAGUGUAUAAAUAGUAUAAAAAAGAACAAAUUGGAUACAAGAAUAUAUAUAUCUGGCGUAAAAUAUAAAUGGUAUAAACGUGCACAAAUGGUAUAACAAUUGCAUAACUAUCGUCUAACUCAAAGUACUAAUUGAAUAAAAGCAGAUAAACUACAAUCGUCGUCGAAUAAUAUUGAACAUAUAGUAUAUGACAGUACAGAGUUCUAUGAACUAUUAAACCCAAAGCUAAGGCAGACUAAAUUACAGAUCCAUUGAUUUUAUGUUGUGAUUAUUUAAUAACACAAAGCAUACACAUAUCGUAAAAAAAAUAAUUUUUUCGAAUGUAAUCCCUAAGUGUCGAAACCCUGAGAUGUUAAUAGCGAAAUAUGUCUUCGAAAAGCGUAUGAAAGAGUAUAGAAGCAAUAUUUUUUUAAGAAAACCCUAAGCGUCGAAACACUGAGUUGUUAAUAGCGAAAUAUGUCUUCGAAAAGCGUAUGAAAGAGUAUAGAAAUAAUAUAAAUUUUUUUAAAUAAUUUGAGUUGAAAUCCCUAAGCGUCGAAACACUGAGUUGUUAAUUGCGAAUUAUGUCUUCGAAAAGCGUAUGAAAGAGUAUAGAAAUAAUAUAAUAUUUUUUAAAUAAUUUGAGUUGAAAUCCCUAAGCGUCGAAACACUGAGUUGUUAAUUGCGAAAUAUGUCUUCGAAAAGCGUAUGAAAGAGUAUAGAAAUAAUAUAAUAUUUUUAAAUAAUUUGAGUUGAAAUCCCUAAGCGUCGAAACACUGAGUUGCUAAUAGCGAAAUAUGUCUUCGAAAAGCGUAUGAAAGAGUAUAGAAAUAAUAUAAAUUUUUUAAAUAAUUUGAGUUGAAAUCCCUAAGCGUCGAAACACUGAGUUGUUAAUUGCGAAAUAUGUCUUCGAAAAGCGUAUGAAAGAGUAUAGAAAUAUUAUGAAUUUUUUAAAUAAUUUGAGUUGAAAUCCCUAAGCGUCGAAACACUGAGUUGUUAAUAGCGAAAUAUGUCUUCGAAAAGCGUAUGAAAGAGUAUAGAAAUAAUAUAAAUUUUUUAAAUAAUUUGAGUUGAAAUCCCUAAGCGUCGAAACACUGAGUUGUUAAUAGCGAAAUAUGUCUUCGAAAAGCGUAUGAAAGAGUAUAGAAAUAAUAUAAUAUUUUUUAAAUAAUUUGAGUUGAAAUCCCUAAGCGUCGAAACACUGAGUUGUUAAUUGCGAAAUAUGUCUUCGAAAAGCGUAUGAAAGAGUAUAGAAAUAAUAUAAUAUUUUUAAAUAAUUUGAGUUGAAAUCCCUAAGCGUCGAAACACUGAGUUGUUAAUAGCGAAAUAUGUCUUCGAAAAGCGUAUGAAAGAGUAUAGAAAUAUUAUAAAUUUUUUAAAUAAUUUGAGUUGAAAUCCCUAAGCGUCGAAACACUGAGUUGUUAAUAGCGAAAUAUGUCUUUGAAAAGCGUAUGAAAGAGUAUAGAAAUAAUAUAAAUUUUUUAAAUAAUUUGAGUUGAAAUCCCUAAGCGUCGCAACACUGAGUUGUUAAUUGCGAAAUAUGUCUUCGAAAAGCGUAUGAAAGAGUAUAGAAAUAAUAUAAUAUUUUUUAAAUAAUUUGAGUUGAAAUCCCUAAGCGUCGAAACACUGAGUUGUUAAUAGCGAAAUAUGUCUUCGAAAAGCGUAUGAAAGAGUAUAGAAAUAUUAUAAAUUUUUUAAAUAAUUUGAGUUAAAAUACCUAAGCGUCGAAACACUGAGUUGUUAAUUGCGAAAUAUGUCUUCGAAAAGCGUAUGAAAGAGUAUAGAAAUUUUUUAAAUAAUUUGAGUUGAAAUCCCUAAGCGUCGAAACACUGAGUUGUUAAUUGCGAAAUAUGUCUUCGAAAAGCGUAUGAAAGAGUAUAGAAAUAUUAUCAAUUUUUUAAAUAAUUUGAGUUAAAAUACCUAAGCGUCGAAAGACUGAGUUGUUAAUUGCGAAAUAUGUCUUCGAAAAGCGUAUGAAAGAGUAUAGAAAUAAUAUAAUAUUUUUUAAAUAAUUUGAGUUGAAAUCCCUAAGCGUCGCAACACUGAGUUGUUAAUAGCGAAAUAUGUCUUCGAAAAGCGUAUGAAAGAGUAUAGAAAUAUUAUCAAUUUUUUAAAUAAUUUGAGUUAAAAUACCUAAGCGUCGAAAGACUGAGUUGUUAAUUGCGAAAUAUGUCUUCGAAAAGCGUAUGAAAGAGUAUAGAAAUAAUAUAAUAUUUUUUAAAUAAUUUGAGUUGAAAUCCCUAAGCGUCGCAACACUGAGUUGUUAAUAGCGAAAUAUGUCUUCGAAAAGCGUAUGAAAGAGUAUAGAAAUAAUAUAAUAUUUUUUAAAUAAUUUGAGUUGAAAUCCCUAAGCGUCGAAACACUGAGUUGUUAAUAGCGAAAUAUGUCUUCGAAAAGCGUAUGAAAGAGUAUAGAAAUUUUUUAAAUAAUUUGAGUUGAAAUCCCUAAGCGUCGAAACACUGAGUUGUUAAUUGCGAAAUAUGUCUUCGAAAAGCGUAUGAAAGAGUAUAGAAAUAAUAUAAUAUUUUUUAAAUAAUUUGAGUUGAAAUCCCUAAGCGUCGAAACACUGAGUUGUUAAUAGCGAAAUAUGUCUUCGAAAAGCGUAUGAAAGAGUAUAGAAAUAUUAUAAAUUUUUUAAAUAAUUUGAGUUAAAAUACCUAAGCGUCGAAACACUGAGUUGUUAAUUGCGAAAUAUGUCUUCGAAAAGCGUAUGAAAGAGUAUAGAAAUAAUAUAAUAUUUUUUUAAUAAUUUGAGUUGAAAUCCCUAAGCGUCGAAACACUGAGUUGUUAAUAGCGAAAUAUGUCUUCGAAAAGCGUAUGAAAGAGUAUAGAAAUUUUUUAAAUAAUUUGAGUUGAAAUCCCUAAGCGUCGAAACACUGAGUUGUUAAUUGCGAAAUAUGUCUUCGAAAAGCGUAUGAAAGAGUAUAGAAAUAUUAUAAAUUUUUUAAAUAAUUUGAGUUAAAAUACCUAAGCGUCGAAACACUGAGUUGUUAAUUGCGAAAUAUGUCUUCGAAAAGCGUAUGAAAGAGUAUAGAAAUAAUAUAAUAUUUUUUAAACAAUUUGAGUUGAAAUCCCUAAGCGUCGAAACACUGAGUUGUUAAUUGCGAAAUAUGUCUUCGAAAAGCGUAUGAAAGAGUAUAGAAAUAAUAUAAAUUUUUUAAAUAAUUUGAGUUGAAAUCCCUAAGCGUCGAAACACUGAGUUGUUAAUAGCGAAAUAUGUCUUCGAAAAGCGUAUGAAAGAGUAUAGAAAUAUUAUAAAUUUUUUAAAUAAUUUGAGUUGAAAUCCCUAAGCGUCGAAACACUGAGUUGUUAAUUGCGAAAUAUGUCUUCGAAAAGCGUAUGAAAGAGUAUAGAAAUUUUUUAAAUAAUUUGAGUUGAAAUCCCUAAGCGUCGAAACACUGAGUUGUUAAUUGCGAAAUAUGUCUUCGAAAAGCGUAUGAAAGAGUAUAGAAAUAAUAUAAUAUUUUUUAAAUAAUUUGAGUUGAAAUCCCUAAGCGUCGAAACACUGAGUUGUUAAUAGCGAAAUAUGUCUUCGAAAAGCGUAUGAAAGAGUAUAGAAAUAUUAUAAAUUUUUUAAAUAAUUUGAGUUGAAAUCCCUAAGCGUCGAAACACUGAGUUUUUAAUAGCGAAAUAUGUCUUCGAAAAGCGGAUGAAAGAGUAUAGAAAUAAUAUAACUUUUUUAAAUAAUUUGAGUUGAAAUAACUAAGCGUCGAAACACUGAGUUGUUAAUUGCGAAAUAUGUCUCCGAAAAGCGUAUGAAAGAGUAUAGAAAUAAUAUAAUAUUUUUUAAAUAAUUUGAGUUGAAAUCCCUAAGCGUCGAAACACUGAGUUGUUAAUAGCGAAAUAUGUCUUCGAAAAGCGUAUGAAAGAGUAUAGAAAUAUUAUAAAUUUUUUAAAUAAUUUGAGUUGAAAUCCCUAAGUGUCGAAACACUGAGUUGUUUAUAGCGAAAUAUGUCUUUGAAAAGCGUAUGAAAGAGUAUAGAAAUAAUAUAACUUUUUUAAAUAAUUUGAGUUGAAAUAACUAAGCGUCGAAACACUGAGUUGUUAAUUGCGAAAUAUGUCUCCGAAAAGCGUAUGAAAGAGUAUAGAAAUAAUAUAACUUUUUUAAAUAAUUUGAGUUGGAAGCCCUAAGCGUCGAAACACUGAGUUGUUAAUAGCGAAAUAUGUCUUCGAAAAGCGUAUGAAAGAGUAUAGAAAUAUUAUAAAUUUUUUAAAUAAUUUGAGUUGAAAUCCCUAAGCGUCGAAACACUGAGUUGUUUAUAGCGAAAUAUGUCUUUGAAAAGCGUAUGAAAGAGUAUAGAAAUAAUAUAACUUUUUUAAAUAAUUUGAGUUGAAAUAACUAAGCGUCGAAACACUGAGUUGUUAAUUGCGAAAUAUGUCUCCGAAAAGCGUAUGAAAGAGUAUAGAAAUAAUAUAAUAUUUUUUAAAUAAUUUGAGUUGAAAUCCCUAAGCGUCGAAACACUGAGUUGUUAAUAGCGAAAUAUGUCUUCGAAAAGCGUAUGAAAGAGUAUAGAAAUAUUAUAAAUUUUUUAAAUAAUUUGAGUUGAAAUCCCUAAGCGUCGAAACACUGAGUUGUUUAUAGCGAAAUAUGUCUUUGAAAAGCGUAUGAAAGAGUAUAGAAAUAAUAUAACUUUUUUAAAUAAUUUGAGUUGAAAUAACUAAGCGUCGAAACACUGAGUUGUUAAUUGCGAAAUAUGUCUCCGAAAAGCGUAUGAAAGAGUAUAGAAAUAAUAUAAUAUUUUUUAAAUAAUUUGAGUUGAAAUCCCUAAGCGUCGAAACACUGAGUUGUUAAUAGCGAAAUAUGUCUUCGAAAAGCGUAUGAAAGAGUAUAGAAAUAUUAUAAAUUUUUUAAAUAAUUUGAGUUGAAAUCCCUAAGCGUCGAAACACUGAGUUGUUUAUAGCGAAAUAUGUCUUUGAAAAGCGUAUGAAAGAGUAUAGAAAUAAUAUAACUUUUUUAAAUAAUUUGAGUUGAAAUAACUAAGCGUCGAAACACUGAGUUGUUAAUUGCGAAAUAUGUCUCCGAAAAGCGUAUGAAAGAGUAUAGAAAUAAUAUAAUAUUUUUUAAAUAAUUUGAGUUGAAAUCCCUAAGCGUCGAAACACUGAGUUGUUAAUAGCGAAAUAUGUCUUCGAAAAGCGUAUGAAAGAGUAUAGAAAUAUUAUAAAUUUUUUAAAUAAUUUGAGUUGAAAUCCCUAAGCGUCGAAACACUGAGUUGUUUAUAGCGAAAUAUGUCUUUGAAAAGCGUAUGAAAGAGUAUAGAAAUAAUAUAACUUUUUUAAAUAAUUUGAGUUGAAAUAACUAAGCGUCGAAACACUGAGUUGUUAAUAGCGAAAUAUGUCUUCGAAAAGCGUAUGAAAGAGUAUAGAAAUAUUAUAAAUUUUUUUAAUAAUUUGAGUUGGAAGCCCUAAGCGUCGAAACACUGAGUUGUUUAUAGCGAAAUAUGUCUUUGAAAAGCGUAUGAAAGAGUAUAGAAAUAAUAUAACUUUUUUAAAUAAUUUGAGUUGAAAUAACUAAGCGUCGAAACACUGAGUUGUUAAUUGCGAAAUAUGUCUCCGAAAAGCGUAUGAAAGAGUAUAGAAAUAAUAUAAUAUUUUUUAAAUAAUUUGAGUUGAAAUCCCUAAGCGUCGAAACACUGAGUUGUUAAUAGCGAAAUAUGUCUUCGAAAAGCGUAUGAAAGAGUAUAGAAAUAUUAUAAAUUUUUUAAAUAAUUUGAGUUGAAAUCCCUAAGCGUCGAAACACUGAGUUGUUAAUUGCGAAAUAUGUCUUCGAAAAGCGUAUGAAAGAGUAUAGAAAUAUUAUAAAUUUUUUAAAUAAUUUGAGUUGAAAUCCCUAAGCGUCGAAACACUGAGUUGUUAAUUGCGAAAUAUGUCUUCGAAAAGCGUAUGAAAGAGUAUAGAAAUAAUAUAAUAUUUUUUAAAUAAUUUGAGUUGAAAUCCCUAAGCGUCGAAACACUGAGUUGUUAAUAGCGAAAUAUGUCUUCGAAAAGCGUAUGAAAGAGUAUAGAAAUAUUAUAAAUUGUUUUAAAUAAUUUGAGUUGAAAUCCCUAAGCGUCGAAACACUGAGUUGUUAAUUGCGAAAUAUGUCUUCGAAAAGCGUAUGAAAGAGUAUAGAAAUAAUAUAAUAUUUUUUAAAUAAUUUGAGUUGAAAUCCCUAAGCGUCGAAACACUGAGUUGUUAAUAGCGAAAUAUGUCUUCGAAAAGCGUAUGAAAGAGUAUAGAAUUAUUAUAAAUUUUUUAAAUAAUUUGAGUUGAAAUCCCUAAGCGUCGAAACACUGAGUUGUUAAUAGCGAAAUAUGUCUUCGAAAAGCGUAUGAAAGAGUAUAGAAAUAAUAUAAUAUUUUUUAAAUAAUUUGAGUUGAAAUCCCUAAGCGUCGAAACACUGAGUUGUUAAUAGCGAAAUAUGUCUUCGAAAAGCGUAUGAAAGAGUAUAGAAAUAUUAUAAAUUGUUUUAAAUAAUUUGAGUUGAAAUCCCUAAGCGUCGAAACACUGAGUUGUUAAUUGCGAAAUAUGUCUUCGAAAAGCGUAUGAAAGAGUAUAGAAAUAAUAUAAUAUUUUUUAAAUAAUUUGAGUUGAAAUCCCUAAGCGUCGAAACAAUGAGUUGUUAAUUGCGAAAUAUGUCUUCGAAAAGCGUAUGAAAGAGUAUAGAAAUAAUAUAAUAUUUUUUAAAUAAUUUGAGUUGAAAUCCCUAAGCGUCGAAACACUGAGUUGUUAAUAGCGAAAUAUGUCUUCGAAAAGCGUAUGAAAGAGUAUAGAAAUAUUAUAAAUUGUUUUAAAUAAUUUGAGUUGAAAUCCCUAAGCGUCGAAACACUGAGUUGUUAAUUGCGAAAUAUGUCUUCGAAAAGCGUAUGAAAGAGUAUAGAAAUAAUAUAAUAUUUUUUAAAUAAUUUGAGUUGAAAUCCCUAAGCGUCGAAACAAUGAGUUGUUAAUUGCGAAAUAUGUCUUCGAAAAGCGUAUGAAAGAGUAUAGAAAUAAUAUAAUAUUUUUUAAAUAAUUUGAGUUGAAAUCCCUAAGCGUCGAAACACUGAGUUGUUAAUAGCGAAAUAUGUCUUCGAAAAGCGUAUGAAAGAGUAUAGAAAUAUUAUAAAUUGUUUUAAAUAAUUUGAGUUGAAAUCCCUAAGCGUCGAAACACUGAGUUGUUAAUUGCGAAAUAUGUCUUCGAAAAGCGUAUGAAAGAGUAUAGAAAUAAUAUAAUAUUUUUUAAAUAAUUUGAGUUGAAAUCCCUAAGCGUCGAAACACUGAGUUGUUAAUUGCGAAUGAUGUCUUCGAAAAGCGUAUGAAAGAGUAUAAAAGCAAUAUUUAUUUUAAGAAAACCUUAAGCGUCGAAACACUGAGUUGUUUAUAGCGAAAUAUGUCUUCGAAAAGCGUAUGAAAGAGUAUAGAAAUAAUAUAAAUUUUUUAAAUAAUUUGAGUUGAAAUCCCUAAGCGUCGAAACACUGAGUUUUUAAUAGCGAAAUAUGUCUUCGAAAAGCGUAUGAAAGAGUAUAGAAAUAUUAUAAAUUUUUUAAAUAAUUUGAGUUGAAAUCCCUAAGCGUCGAAACACUGAGUUGUUAAUUGCGAAUGAUGUCUUCGAAAAGCGUAUGAAAGAGUAUAAAAGCAAUAUUUAUUUUAAGAAAACCUUAAGCGUCGAAACACUGAGUUGUUAAUAGCGAAAUAUGUCUUCGAAAAGCGUAUGAAAGAGUAUAGAAAUAUUAUAAAUUGUUUUAAAUAAUUUGAGUUGAAAUCCCUAAGCGUCGAAACACUGAGUUGUUAAUUGCGAAAUAUGUCUUCGAAAAGCGUAUGAAAGAGUAUAGAAAUAAUAUAAUAUUUUUUAAAUAAUUUGAGUUGAAAUCCCUAAGCGUCGAAACACUGAGUUGUUAAUUGCGAAUGAUGUCUUCGAAAAGCGUAUGAAAGAGUAUAAAAGCAAUAUUUAUUUUAAGAAAACCUUAAGCGUCGAAACAAUGAGUUGUUAAUUGCGAAAUAUGUCUUCGAAAAGCGUAUGAAAGAGUAUAGAAAUAUUAUAAAUUUUUAAAAUAAUUUGAGUUGAAAUCUCUAAGCGUCGAAACACUGAGUUGUUAAUAGCGAAAUAUGUCUUCGAAAAGCGUAUGAAAGAGUAUAGAAAUAAUAUAAUAUUUUUUAAAUAAUUUGAGUUGAAAUCCCUAAGCGUCGAAACACUGAGUUGUUAAUAGCGAAAUAUGUCUUCGAAAAGCGUAUGAAAGAGUAGAGAAAUAAUAUAACAUUUUUUAAAUAAUUUGAGUUGAAAUCCCAAAGCGUCGAAACACUGAGUUGUUUAUAGCGAAACAUGUCUUUGAAAAGCGUAUGGAAGAGUAUAGAAAUAUUAUAAUUUUUUUAAAUAAUUUGAGUUGAAAUCCCUAAGCGUCGAAACACUGAGUUGUUAAUUGCGAAAUAUGUCUUCGAAAAGCGUAUGAAAGAGUAUAAAAGCAAUAUUUAUUUUAAGAAAACCUUAAGCGUGAAAUACUGAGUUGUUUAUAGCGAAAUAUGUCUUCGAAAAGCGUAUGAAAGAGUAUAGAAAUAAUAUAAAUUUUUUAAAUAAUUUGAGUUGAAAUCCCUAAGCGUCGAUACACUGAGUUGUUAAUAGCGAAAUAUGUCUUCGAAAAGCGUAUGAAAGAGUAUAGAAAUAAUAUAAUAUUUUUUAAAUAAUUUGAGUUGAAAUCCCUAAGCGUCGAUACACUGAGUUGUUAAUAGCGAAAUAUGUCUCCGAAAAGCGUAUGAAAGAGUAUAGAAAUAUUAUAAAUUUUUUAAAUAAUUUGAGUUGAAAUCCCUAAGCGUCGAAACACUGAGUUGUUAAUUGCGAAAUAUGUCUUCGAAAAGCGUAUGAAAGAGUAUAAAAGCAAUAUUUAUUUUAAGAAAACCUUAAGCGUGAAAUACUGAGUUGUUUAUAGCGAAAUAUGUCUUCGAAAAGCGUAUGAAAGAGUAUAGAAAUAAUAUAAAUUUUUUAAAUAAUUUGAGUUGAAAUCCCUAAGCGUCGAAACACUGAGUUGUUUAUAGCGAAACAUGUCUUUGAAAAGCGUAUGGAAGAGUAUAGAAAUAUUAUAAAUUUUUUAAAUAAUUUGAGUUGAAAUCCCUAAGCGUCGAAACACUGAGUUGUUAAUUGCGAAAUAUGUCUUCGAAAAGCGUAUGAAAGAGUAUAAAAGCAAUAUUUAUUUUAAGAAAACCUUAAGCGUCGAAACACUGAGUUGUUAAUUGCGAAAUAUGUCUUCGAAAAGUGUAUGAAAGUAAUAUUUUUUUAAAGAAAACCUUAAGCGUCGAAACACUGAGUUGUUUAUAGCGAAAUAUGUCUUCGAAAAGCGUAUGAAAGAGUAUAGAAAUAAUAUAAUUUUUUUAAAUAAUUUGAGUUGAAAUCCCUAAGCGUCGAAACACUGAGUUGUUAAUAGCGAAAUAUGUCUUCGAAAAGCGUAUGAAAGAGUAUAGAAAUAAUAUAAUUUUUUAAAUAAUUUGAGUUGAAAUCCCUAAGCGUCGAAACACUGAGUUGUUAAUUGCGAAUGAUGUCUUCGAAAAGCGUAUGAAAGAGUAUAAAAGCAAUAUUUAUUUUAAGAAAAUCUUAAGCGUCGAAACACUGAGUUGUUUAUAGCGAAAUAUGUCUUCGAAAAGCGUAUGAAAGAGUAUAGAAAUAAUAUAAAUUUUUUAAAUAAUUUGAGUUGAAAUCCCUAAGCGUCGAAACACUGAGUUUUUAAUAGCGAAAUAUGUCUUCGAAAAGCGUAUGAAAGAGUAUAAAAAUAAUAUAACAUUUUUUAAAUAAUUUGAAUUGAAAUCCCUAAGCGUCGAAACACUGAGUUGUUAAUAGCGAAAUAUGUCUUCGAAAAGCGUAUGAAAGAGUAUAGAAAUAAUAUAAUUUUUUAAAUAAUUUGAGUUGAAAUCCCUAAGCGUCGAAACACUGAGUUGUUAAUUGCGAAUGAUGUCUUCGAAAAGCGUAUGAAAGAGUAUAAAAGCAAUAUUUAUUUUAAGAAAACCUUAAGCGUCGAAACACUGAGUUGUUUAUAGCGAAAUAUGUCUUCGAAAAGCGUAUGAAAGAGUAUAGAAAUAAUAUAAAUUUUUUAAAUAAUUUGAGUUGAAAUCCCUAAGCGUCGAAACACUGAGUUUUUAAUAGCGAAAUAUGUCUUCGAAAAGCGUAUGAAAGAGUAUAGAAAUAUUAUAAAUUUUUUAAAUAAUUUGAGUUGAAAUCCCUAAGCGUCGAAACACUGAGUUGUUAAUUGCGAAAUAUGUCUUCGAAAAGCGUAUGAAAGAGUAUAAAAGCAAUAUUUAUUUUAAGAAAACCUUAAGCGUCGAAACACUGAGUUGUUAAUAGCGAAAUAUGUCUUCGAAAAGCGUAUGAAAGAGUAUAGAAGUAUUAUAAAUUUUUUAAAUAAUUUGAGUUGAAAUCCCUAAGCGUCGAAACACUGAGUUGUUAAUAGCGAAAUAUGUCUUCGAAAAGCAUAUGAAAGAGUAUAGAAAUAUUAUAAAUUUUUUAAAUAAUUUUAGUUGAAAUCCCUAAGCGUCGAAACACUAGUUGUUAAUUGCGAAUGAUGUCUUCGAAAAGCGUAUGAAAGAGUAUAAAAAUAAUAUAACAUUUUUUAAAUAAUUUGAAUUGAAAUCCCUAAGCGUCGAAACAGUGAGUUGUUAAUAGCGAAAUAUGUCUUCGAAAAGCGUAUGAAAGAGUAUAGAAAUAUUAUAAAUUUUUUAAAUAAUUUGAGUUGAAAUCCCUAAGCGUCGAAACACUGAGUUGUUAAUUGCGAAAUAUGUCUUCGAAAAGCGUAUGAAAGAGUAUAAAAGCAAUAUUUAUUUUAAGAAAACCUUAAGCGUCGAAACACUGAGUUGUUUAUAGCGAAAUAUGUCUUCGAAAAGCGUAUGAAAGAGUAUAGAAAUAAUAUAAAUUUUUUAAAUAAUUUGAGUUGAAAUCCCUAAGCGUCGAAACACUGAGUUGUUAAUAGCGAAAUAUGUCUUCGAAAAGCAUAUGAAAGAGUAUAGAAAUAUUAUAAAUUUUUUAAAUAAUUUGAGUUGAAAUCCCUAAGCGUCGAAACACUGAGUUGUUAAUUGCGAAUGAUGUCUUCGAAAAGCGUAUGAAAGAGUAUAAAAAUAAUAUAACAUUUUUUUAAAUAAUUUGAAUUGAAAUCCCUAAGCGUCGAAACACUGAGUUGUUAAUUGCGAAAUAUGUCUUCGAAAAGCGUAUGAAAGAGUAUAAAAGCAAUAUUUAUUUUAAGAAAACCUUAAGCGUCGAAACACUGAGUUGUUUAUAGCGAAAUAUGUCUUCGAAAAGCGUAUGAAAGAGUAUAGAAAUAAUAUAAAUUUUUUAAAUAAUUUGAGUUGAAAUCCCUAAGCGUCGAAACACUGAGUUGUUAAUAGCGAAAUAUGUCUUCGAAAAGCGUAUGAAAGAGUAUAGAAAUAAUAUAAAUUUUUUAAAUAAUUUGAGUUGAAAUCCCUAAGCGUCGAAACACUGAGUUGUUAAUAGCGAAAUAUGUCUUCGAAAAGCAUAUGAAAGAGUAUAGAAAUAUUAUAAAUUUUUUAAAUAAUUUGAGUUGAAAUCCCUAAGCGUCGAAACACUGAGUUGUUAAUUGCGAAAUAUGUCUUCGAAAAGCGUAUGAAAGAGUAUAAAAGCAAUAUUUAUUUUAAGAAAACCUUAAGCGUCGAAACACUGAGUUGUUAAUAGCGAAAUAUGUCUUCGAAAAGCGUAUGAAAGAGUAUAGAAAUAUUAUAAAUUUUUUAAAUAAUUUGAGUUGAAAUCCCUAAGCGUCGAAACACUGAGUUGUAAAUUGCGAAAUAUGUCUUCGAAAAGUGUAUGAAAGUAAUAUUUUUUUAAAGAAAACCUUAAGCGUCGAAACACUGAGUUGUUUAUAGCGAAAUAUGUCUUCGAAAAGCGUAUGAAAGAGUAUAGAAAUAAUAUAAAUUUUUUAAAUAAUUUGAGUUGAAAUCCCUAAGCGUCGAAACACUGAGUUGUUAAUUGCGAAUGAUGUCUUCGAAAAGCGUAUGAAAGAGUAUAAAAAUAAUAUAACAUUUUUUAAAUAAUUUGAAUUGAAAUCCCUAAGCGUCGAAACACUGAGUUGUUAAUAGCGAAAUAUGUCUUCGAAAAGCGUAUGAAAGAGUAUAGAAAUAUUAUAAAUUUUUUAAAUAAUUUGAGUUGAAAUCCCUAAGCGUCGAAACACUGAGUUGUUAAUUGCGAAAUAUGUCUUCGAAAAGCGUAUGAAAGAGUAUAAAAGCAAUAUUUAUUUUAAGAAAACCUUAAGCGUCGAAACACUGAGUUGUUUAUAGCGAAAUAUGUCUUCGAAAAGCGUAUGAAAGAGUAUAGAAAUAUUAUAAAUUUUUUAAAUAAUUUGAGUUGAAAUCCCUAAGCGUCGAAACACUGAGUUGUUAAUUGCGAAUGAUGUCUUCGAAAAGCGUAUGAAAGAGUAUAAAAAUAAUAUAACAUUUUUUAAAUAAUUUGAAUUGAAAUCCCUAAGCGUCGAAACACUGAGUUGUUAAUAGCGAAAUAUGUCUUCGAAAAGCGUAUGAAAGAGUAUAGAAAUAUUAUAAAUUUUUUAAAUAAUUUGAGUUGAAAUCCCUAAGCGUCGAAACACUGAGUUGUUAAUUGCGAAAUAUGUCUUCGAAAAGCGUAUGAAAGAGUAUAAAAGCAAUAUUUAUUUUAAGAAAACCUUAAGCGUCGAAACACUGAGUUGUUUUUAGCGAAAUAUGUCUUCGAAAAGCGUAUGAAAGAGUAUAGAAAUAUUAUAAAUUUUUUAAAUAAUUUGAGUUGAAAUCCCUAAGCGUCGAAACACUGAGUUGUUAAUUGCGAAUGAUGUCUUCGAAAAGCGUAUGAAAGAGUAUAAAAAUAAUAUAACAUUUUUUAAAUAAUUUGAAUUGAAAUCCCUAAGCUUCGAAACACUGAGUUGUUAAUAGCGAAAUAUGUCUUCGAAAAGCGUAUGAAAGAGUAUAGAAAUAUUAUAAAUUUUUUAAAUAAUUUGAGUUGAAAUCCCUAAGCGUCGAAACACUGAGUUGUUAAUAGCGAAAUAUGUCUUCGAAAAGCGUAUGAAAGAGUAUAGAAAUAUUAUAAAUUUUUUAAAUAAUUUGAGUUGAAAUCCCUAAGCGUCGAAACACUGAGUUGUUAAUUGCGAAUGAUGUCUUCGAAAAGCGUAUGAAAGAGUAUAAAAAUAAUAUAACAUUUUUUAAAUAAUUUGAAUUGAAAUCCCUAAGCGUCGAAACACUGAGUUGUUAAUAGCGAAAUAUGUCUUCGAAAAGCGUAUGAAAGAGUAUAGAAAUAUUAUAAAUUUUUUAAAUAAUUUGAGUUGAAAUCCCUAAGCGUCGAAACACUGAGUUGUAAAUUGCGAAAUAUGUCUUCGAAAAGUGUAUGAAAGUAAUAUUUUUUUAAAGAAAACCUUAAGCGUCGAAACACUGAGUUGUUUAUAGCGAAAUAUGUCUUCGAAAAGCGUAUGAAAGAGUAUAGAAAUAUUAUAAAUUUUUUAAAUAAUUUGAGUUGAAAUCCCUAAGCGUCGAAACACUGAGUUGUUAAUAGCGAAAUAUGUCUUCGAAAAGCGUAUGAAAGAGUAUAGAAAUAUUAUAAAUUUUUUAAAUAAUUUGAGUUGAAAUCCCUAAGCGUCGAAACACUGAGUUGUUAAUUGCGAAUGAUGUCUUCGAAAAGCGUAUGAAAGAGUAUAAAAAUAAUAUAACAUUUUUUAAAUAAUUUGAAUUGAAAUCCCUAAGCGUCGAAACACUGAGUUGUUAAUAGCGAAAUAUGUCUUCGAAAAGCGUAUGAAAGAGUAUAGAAAUAUUAUAAAUUUUUUAAAUAAUUUGAGUUGAAAUCCCUAAGCGUCGAAACACUGAGUUGUUAAUAGCGAAAUAUGUCUUCGAAAAGCGUAUGAAAGAGUAUAGAAAUAUUAUAAAUUUUUUAAAUAAUUUGAGUUGAAAUCCCUAAGCGUCGAAACACUGAGUUGUAAAUUGCGAAAUAUGUCUUCGAAAAGUGUAUGAAAGUAAUAUUUUUUUAAAGAAAACCUUAAGCGUCGAAACACUGAGUUGUUUAUAGCGAAAUAUGUCUUCGAAAAGCGUAUGAAAGAGUAUAGAAAUAUUAUAAAUUUUUUAAAUAAUUUGAGUUGAAAUCCCUAAGCGUCGAAACACUGAGUUGUUAAUUGCGAAUGAUGUCUUCGAAAAGCGUAUGAAAGAGUAUAAAAAUAAUAUAACAUUUUUUAAAUAAUUUGAAUUGAAAUCCCUAAGCGUCGAAACACUGAGUUGUUAAUAGCGAAAUAUGUCUUCGAAAAGCGUAUGAAAGAGUAUAGAAAUAUUAUAAAUUUUUUAAAUAAUUUGAGUUGAAAUCCCUAAGCGUCGAAACACUGAGUUGUUAAUAGCGAAAUAUGUCUUCGAAAAGCGUAUGAAAGAGUAUAGAAAUAUUAUAAAUUUUUUAAAUAAUUUGAGUUGAAAUCCCUAAGCGUCGAAACACUGAGUUGUUAAUUGCGAAAUAUGUCUUCGAAAAGCGUAUGAAAGAGUAUAGAAAUAUUAUAAAUUUUUUAAAUAAUUUGAGUUGAAAUCCCUAAGCGUCGAAACACUGAGUUGUUAAUUGCGAAUGAUGUCUUCGAAAAGCGUAUGAAAGAGUAUAAAAAUAAUAUAACAUUUUUUAAAUAAUUUGAAUUGAAAUCCCUAAGCGUCGAAACACUGAGUUGUUAAUAGCGAAAUAUGUCUUCGAAAAGCGUAUGAAAGAGUAUAGAAAUAUUAUAAAUUUUUUAAAUAAUUUGAGUUGAAAUCCCUAAGCGUCGAAACACUGAGUUGUUAAUAGCGAAAUAUGUCUUCGAAAAGCGUAUGAAAGAGUAUAGAAAUAUUAUAAAUUUUUUAAAUAAUUUGAGUUGAAAUCCCUAAGCGUCGAAACACUGAGUUGUUAAUUGCGAAAUAUGUCUUCGAAAAGCGUAUGAAAGAGUAUAAAAGCAAUAUUUAUUUUAAGAAAACCUUAAGCGUCGAAACACUGAGUUGUUUAUAGCGAAAUAUGUCUUCGAAAAGCGUAUGAAAGAGUAUAGAAAUAUUAUAAAUUUUUUAAAUAAUUUGAAUUGAAAUCCCUAAGCGUCGAAACACUGAGUUGUUAAUAGCGAAAUAUGUCUUCGAAAAGCGUAUGAAAGAGUAUAGAAAUAUUAUAAAUUUUUUAAAUAAUUUGAGUUGAAAUCCCUAAGCGUCGAAACACUGAGUUGUUAAUUGCGAAUGAUGUCUUCGAAAAGCGUAUGAAAGAGUAUAAAAAUAAUAUAACAUUUUUUAAAUAAUUUGAAUUGAAAUCCCUAAGCGUCGAAACACUGAGUUGUUAAUAGCGAAAUAUGUCUUCGAAAAGCGUAUGAAAGAGUAUAGAAAUAUUAUAAAUUUUUUAAAUAAUUUGAGUUGAAAUCCCUAAGCGUCGAAACACUGAGUUGUUAAUAGCGAAAUAUGUCUUCGAAAAGCGUAUGAAAGAGUAUAGAAAUAUUAUAAAUUUUUUAAAUAAUUUGAGUUGAAAUCCCUAAGCGUCGAAACACUGAGUUGUAAAUUGCGAAAUAUGUCUUCGAAAAGUGUAUGAAAGUAAUAUUUUUUUAAAGAAAACCUUAAGCGUCGAAACACUGAGUUGUUUAUAGCGAAAUAUGUCUUCGAAAAGCGUAUGAAAGAGUAUAGAAAUAUUAUAAAUUUUUUAAAUAAUUUGAGUUGAAAUCCCUAAGCGUCGAAACACUGAGUUGUUAAUAGCGAAAUAUGUCUUCGAAAAGCGUAUGAAAGAGUAUAGAAAUAUUAUAAAUUUUUUAAAUAAUUUGAGUUGAAAUCCCUAAGCGUCGAAACACUGAGUUGUUAAUAGCGAAAUAUGUCUUCGAAAAGCGUAUGAAAGAGUAUAGAAAUAUUAUAAAUUUUUUAAAUAAUUUGAGUUGAAAUCCCUAAGCGUCGAAACACUGAGUUGUUAAUAGCGAAAUAUGUCUUCGAAAAGCGUAUGAAAGAGUAUAGAAAUAUUAUAAAUUUUUUAAAUAAUUUGAGUUGAAAUCCCUAAGCGUCGAAACACUGAGUUGUUAAUUGCGAAAUAUGUCUUCGAAAAGCGUAUGAAAGAGUAUAAAAGCAAUAUUUAUUUUAAGAAAACCUUAAGCGUCGAAACACUGAGUUGUUUAUAGCGAAAUAUGUCUUCGAAAAGCGUAUGAAAGAGUAUAGAAAUAUUAUAAAUUUUUUAAAUAAUUUGAGUUGAAAUCCCUAAGCGUCGAAACACUGAGUUGUUAAUUGCGAAAUAUGUCUUCGAAAAGCGUAUGAAAGAGUAUAAAAGCAAUAUUUAUUUUAAGAAAACCUUAAGCGUCGAAACACUGAGUUGUUUAUAGCGAAAUAUGUCUUCGAAAAGCGUAUGAAAGAGUAUAGAAAUAUUAUAAAUUUUUUAAAUAAUUUGAGUUGAAAUCCCUAAGCGUCGAAACACUGAGUUGUUAAUUGCGAAAUAUGUCUUCGAAAAGCGUAUGAAAGAGUAUAGAAAUAUUAUAAAUUUUUUAAAUAAUUUGAGUUAAAAUACCUAAGCGUCGAAACACUGAGUUGUUAAUUGCGAAAUAUGUCUUCGAAAAGCGUAUGAAAGAGUAUAGAAAUAAUAUAAUAUUUUUUUAAUAAUUUGAGUUGAAAUCCCUAAGCGUCGAAACACUGAGUUGUUAAUUGCGAAAUAUGUCUUCGAAAAGCGUAUGAAAGAGUAUAGAAAUAUUAUAAAUUUUUUAAAUAAUUUGAGUUGAAAUCCCUAAGCGUCGAAACACUGAGUUGUUAAUUGCGAAAUAUGUCUUCGAAAAGCGUAUGAAAGAGUAUAAAAGCAAUAUUUAUUUUAAGAAAACCUUAAGCGUCGAAACACUGAGUUGUUAAUAGCGAAAUAUGUCUUCGAAAAGCGUAUGAAAGAGUAUAGAAAUAUUAUAAAUUUUUUAAAUAAUUUGAGUUGAAAUCCCUAAGCGUCGAAACACUGAGUUGUUAAUUGCGAAAUAUGUCUUCGAAAAGCGUAUGAAAGAGUAUAGAAAUAUUAUAAAUUUUUUAAAUAAUUUGAGUUGAAAUCCCUAAGCGUCGAAACACUGAGUUGUUAAUUGCGAAAUAUGUCUUCGAAAAGCGUAUGAAAGAGUAUAAAAGCAAUAUUUAUUUUAAGAAAACCUUAAGCGUCGAAACACUGAGUUGUUUAUAGCGAAAUAUGUCUUCGAAAAGCGUAUGAAAGAGUAUAGAAAUAAUAUAAAUUUUUUAAAUAAUUUGAGUUGAAAUCCCUAAGCGUCGAAACACUGAGUUGUUAAUAGCGAAAUAUGUCUUCGAAAAGCGUAUGAAAGAGUAUAGAAAUAAUAUAAAUUUUUUAAAUAAUUUGAGUUGAAAUCCCUAAGCGUCGAAACACUGAGUUGUUAAUAGCGAAAUAUGUCUUCGAAAAGCAUAUGAAAGAGUAUAGAAAUAUUAUAAAUUUUUUAAAUAAUUUGAGUUGAAAUCCCUAAGCGUCGAAACACUGAGUUGUUAAUUGCGAAAUAUGUCUUCGAAAAGCGUAUGAAAGAGUAUAAAAGCAAUAUUUAUUUUAAGAAAACCUUAAGCGUCGAAACACUGAGUUGUUUAUAGCGAAAUAUGUCUUCGAAAAGCGUAUGAAAGAGUAUAGAAAUAAUAUAAAUUUUUUAAAUAAUUUGAGUUGAAAUCCCUAAGCGUCGAAACACUGAGUUGUUAAUUGCGAAUGAUGUCUUCGAAAAGCGUAUGAAAGAGUAUAAAAAUAAUAUAACAUUUUUUAAAUAAUUUGAAUUGAAAUCCCUAAGCGUCGAAACACUGAGUUGUUAAUAGCGAAAUAUGUCUUCGAAAAGCGUAUGAAAGAGUAUAGAAAUAUUAUAAAUUUUUUAAAUAAUUUGAGUUGAAAUCUCUAAGCGUCGGAACACUGAGUUGUUAAUUGCGAAAUAUGUCUUCGAAAAGCGUAUGAAAGAGUAUAAAAAUAAUAUAACAUUUUUUAAAUAAUUUGAGUUGAAAUCCCUAAGCGUCGAAACACUGAGUUGUUAAUAGCGAAAUAUGUCUUCGAAAAGCGUAUGAAAGAAUAUAGAAAUAAUAUAAAUUUUUAAGUAAUUUGAGUUGAAAUCUCUAAGCGUCGAAACACUGAGUUGUUAAUUGCGAAUUAUGUCUUCGAAAAGUGUAUGAAAGUAAUAUUUUUUUAAAGAAAACCUUAAAUGUCGAAACACUGAGUUGUUAAUAGCGAAAUAUGUCUUCGAAAAGCGUAUGAAAGAGUAUAAAAAUAAUAUAACAUUUUUUAAAUAAUUUGAGUUGAAAUCCCUAAGUGUCAAAACACUGAGUUGUUAAUAGCGAAAUAUGUCUUCGAAAAGCGUAUGAAAGAAUAUAGAAAUAAUAUAAAUUUUUAAGUAAUUUGAGUUGAAAUCUCUAAGCGUCGAAACACUGAGUUGUUAAUUGCGAAUUAUGUCUUCGAAAAGUGUAUGAAAGUAAUAUUUUUUUAAAGAAAACCUUAAAUGUCGAAACACUGAGUUGUUAAUAGCGAAAUAUGUCUUCGAAAAGCGUAUGAAAGAAUAUAGAAAUAAUAUAAAUUUUUAAGUAAUUUGAGUUGAAAUCUCUAAGCGUCGAAACACUGAGUUGUUAAUUGCGAAUUAUGUCUUCGAAAAGUGUAUGAAAGUAAUAUUUUUUUAAAGAAAACCUUAAAUGUCGAAACACUGAGUUGUUAAUAGCGAAAUAUGUCUUCGAAAAGCGUAUGAAAGAAUAUAGAAAUAAUAUAAAUUUUUAAGUAAUUUGAGUUGAAAUCUCUAAGCGUCGAAACACUGAGUUGUUAAUUGCGAAAUAUGUCUUCGAAAAGCGUAUGAAAGAGUAUAGAAAUAAUAUAAUUUUUUAAAUAAUUUGAGUUGAAAUCCCUAAGCGUCGAAACACUGAGUUGUUAAUUGCGAAUUAUGUCUUCGGAAAGCGUAUGAAAGAGUAUAGAAAUAUUAUAAAUGUUUUAAAUAAUUUGAGUUGAAAUCCCUAAGCGUCGAAAUGCUGAGUUGUUAAUAGCGAAAUAUGUCUUCGAAAAGUGUAUGAAAGCAAAAUUUUUAAGAAAUCCUUAAGCGUCGAAACACCGAUCUUUUAAUAGAAAAGUAAUAAGAGAGUAAUGCGAUAUUAGUAAAGAAUUUGAUUUAAUAGACCCUAACGGUGAAACCCUCGAUUUUUAUUACAAGAAAAAUAUCUUCGAAAAGCGUACAAGAGAGUAAAGUGUAAAGAGUAAUGCGAUAUUAGUAAAGAAUUUUAUUUAAUAGACCUUAACGGCGAAACCCUAGAUUUUUAUUACAAGAAAAAUAUCUUCGAAAAGCGUACAAGAGAGUAAAGUGUAAAGAGUAAUGCGAUAUUAGUAAAGAAUUUUAUUUAAUAGACCUUAACGGCGAAACCCUAGAUUUUUAUUACAAGAAAAAUAUCUUCGAAAAGCGUACAAGAGAGUAAAGUGUAAAGAGUAAUGCGAUAUUAGUAAAGAAUUUUAUUUAAAAGACACUAACGGCGAAACCCUAGAUUUUUAUUACAAGAAAAAUAUCUUCGAAAAGCGUACAAGAGAGUAAAGUGUAAAGAGUAAUGCGAUAUUAGUAAAGAAUUUUAUUUAAUAGACCUUAACGGCGAAACCCUAGAUUUUUAUUACAAGAAAAAUAUCUUCGAAAAGCGUACAAGAGAGUAAAGUGUAAAGAGUAAUGCGAUAUUAGUAAAGAAUUUUAUUUAAUAGACCUUAACGGCGAAACCCUAGAUUUUUAUUACAAGAAAAAUAUCUUCGAAAAGCGUACAAGAGAGUGAAGUGUAAGGAGUAAUGCGAUAUUAGUAAAGAAUUUUAUUUAAUAGACCUUAACGGCGAAACCCUAGAUUUUUAUUACAAGAAAAAUAUCUUCGAAAAGCGUACAAGAGAGUGAAGUGUAAAGAGUAAUGCGAUAUUAGUAAAGAAUUUUAUUUAAUAGACCCUAACGGCGAAACCCUAAAUUUUUAUUAGAAGAAAAAUAUCUUCGAAAAGCGUACAAGAAAGUAAAGUGAGAGAGUUAACGGCGAAACCCUAGAUUUUUAUUACAAGAAAAAUAUCUUCGAAAAGCGUACAAGAGAGUAAAGUGUAAAGAGCAAUACGAUAUUAGUAAAGAAUUUUAUUUAAUAGACCUUAACGGCGAAACCCUAGAUUUUAUUACAAGAAAAAUAUCUUCGAAAAGCGUACAAGAGAGUGAAGUGUAAAGAGUAAUGCGAUAUUAGUAAAGCAUUUUAUUUAAAAGACCUUAACGGCGAAACCCUAGAUUUUUAUUACAAGAAAAAUAUCUUCGAAAAGCGUACAAGAGAGUAAUGUGUAAAGAGUAAUGCGAUAUUAGUAAAGAAUUUUAUUUAAUAGACCUUAACGGCGAAACCCUAGAUUUUUAUUACAAGAAAAAUAUCUUCGAAAAGCGUACAAGAGAGUGAAGUGUAAAGAGUAAUGCGAUAUUAGUAAAGAAUUUUAUUUAAUAGACCCUAACGGCGAAACCCUAAAUUUUUAUUAGAAGAAAAAUAUCUUCGAAAAGCGUACAAGAGAGUGAAGUGUAAAGAGUAAUGCGAUAUUAGUAAAGCAUUUUAUUUAAAAGACCUUAACGGCGAAACCCUAGAUUUUUAUUACAAGAAAAAUAUCUUCGAAAAGCGUACAAGAGAGUGAAGUGUAAAGAGUAAUGCGAUAUUAGUAAAGAAUUUUAUUUAAUAGACCCUAACGGCGAAACCCUAAAUUUUUAUUAGAAGAAAAAUAUCUUCGAAAAGCGUACAAGAAAGUAAAGUGAGAAAGUUAACGGCGAAACCCUAGAUUUUUAUUACAAGAAAAAUAUCUUCGAAAAGCGUACAAGAGAGUAAAGUGUAAAGAGCAAUACGAUAUUAGUAAAGAAUUUUAUUUAAUAGACCUUAACGGCGAAACCCUAGAUUUUAUUACAAGAAAAAUAUCUUCGAAAAGCGUACAAGAGAGUGAAGUGUAAAGAGUAAUGCGAUAUUAGUAAAGAAUUUUAUUUAAUAGACCUUAACGGCGAAACCCUAGAUUUUUAUUACAAGAAAAAUAUCUUCGAAAAGCGUACAAGAGAGUAAUGUGUAAAGAGUAAUGCGAUAUUAGUAAAGAAUUUUAUUUAAUAGACCUUAACGGCGAAACCCUAGAUUUUUAUUACAAGAAAAAUAUCUUCGAAAAGCGUACAAGAGAGUAAUGUGUAAAGAGUAAUGCGAUAUUAGUAAAGAAUUUUAUUUAAUAGACCUUAACGGCGAAACCCUAGAUUUUUAUUACAAGAAAAAUAUCUUCGAAAAGCGUACAAGAGAGUAAAGUGUAAAGAGCAAUACGAUAUUAGUAAAGAAUUUUAUUUAAUAGACCUUAACGGCGAAACCCUAGAUUUUUAUUACAAGAAAAAUAUCUUCGAAAAGCGUACAAGAGAGUAAUGUGUAAAGAGUAAUGCGAUAUUAGUAAAGAAUUUUAUUUAAUAGACCUUAACGGCGAAACCCUAGAUUUUUAUUACAAGAAAAAUAUCUUCGAAAAGCGUACAAGAGAGUAAAGUGUAAAGAGCAAUACGAUAUUAGUAAAGAAUUUUAUUUAAUAGACCUUAACGGCGAAACCCUAGAUUUUAUUACAAGAAAAAUAUCUUCGAAAAGCGUACAAGAGAGUGAAGUGUAAAGAGUAAUGCGAUAUUAGUAAAGAAUUUUAUUUAAUAGACCUUAACGGCGAAACCCUAGAUUUUUAUUACAAGAAAAAUAUCUUCGAAAAGCGUACAAGAGAGUAAUGUGUAAAGAGUAAUGCGAUAUUAGUAAAGAAUUUUAUUUAAUAGACCUUAACGGCGAAACCCUAGAUUUUUAUUACAAGAAAAAUAUCUUCGAAAAGCGUACAAGAGAGUAAAGUGUAAAGAGUAAUGCGAUAUUAGUAAAGAAUUUUAUUUAAUAGACCUUAACGGCGAAACCCUAGAUUUUUAUUACAAAAAAAUAUCUUCGAAAAGCGUACAAGAGAGUAAUGUGUAAAGAGUAAUGCGAUAUUAGUAAAGAAUUUUAUUUAAUAGACCUUAACGGCGAAACCCUAGAUUUUUAUUACAAGAAAAAUAUCUUCGAAAAGCGUACAAGAGAGUAAAGUGUAAAGAGCAAUACGAUAUUAGUAAAGCAUUUUAUUUAAUAGACCUUAACGGCGAAACCCUAGAUUUUAUUACAAGAAAAAUAUCUUCGAAAAGCGUACAAGAGAGUAAAGUGUAAAGAGUAAUGCGAUAUUAGUAAAGAAUUUUAUUUAAUAGACCUUAACGGCGAAACCCUAGAUUUUUAUUACAAGAAAAAUAUCUUCGAAAAGCGUACAAGAGAGUAAUGUGUAAAGAGUAAUGCGAUAUUAGUAAAGAAUUUUAUUUAAUAGACCUUAACGGCGAAACCCUAGAUUUUUAUUACAAGAAAAAUAUCUUCGAAAAGCGUACAAGAGAGUAAAGUGUAAAGAGUAAUGCGAUAUUAGUAAAGAAUUUGAUUUAAUAGACCUUAACGGCGAAACCCUAGAUUUUAUUACAAGAAAAAUAUCUUCGAAAAGCGUACAAGAGAGUAAAGUGUAAAGAGUAAUGCGAUAUUAGUAAAGAAUUUGAUUUAAUAGACCCUAACGACGAAACCCUAGAUUUUUAUUACAAAAAAAUAUCUUCGAAAAUCGUACAAGAGAGUAAAGUGUAAAGAGUAAUGCGAUAUUAGUAAAGAAUUUUAUUUAAUAGACCUUAACGGCGAAACCCAGGAUUUUUAUUACAAGGAAAAUAUCUUCGAAAAGCGUACAAGAGAGUAAAGUGUAAAGAGUAAUGCGAUAUUAGUAACGAAUUUGAUUUAAUAGACCUUAACGGCGAAACCCAGGAUUAUUAUUACAAGAAAAAUAUCUUCGAAAAGCGUACAAGAGAGUAAUGUGUAAAGAGUAAUGCGAUAUUAGUAAAGAAUUUUAUUUAAUAGACCUUAACGGCGAAACCCAGGAUUUUUAUUACAAGAAAAAUAUCUUCGAAAAGCGUACAAGAGAGUAAAGUGUAAAGAGUAAUGCGAUAUUAGUAAAGAAUUUUAUUUAAUAGACCUUAACGGCGAAACCCUAGAUUUUUAUUACAAGGAAAAUAUCUUCGAAAAUCGUACAAGAGAGUAAAGUGUAAAGAGUAAUACGAUAUUAGUAAAGAAUUUUAUUUAAUAGACCUUAACAGCGAAACCCUAGAUUUUAUUGCAAGAAAAAUACCUUCGAAAAGCGUACAAGAGAGUAAAGUGUAAAGAGUAAUGCGAUAUUAGUAAAGAAUUUUAUUUAAUAGACCUUAACGGCGAAACCCUAGAUUUUUAUUACAAGAAAAAUAUCUUCGAAAAGCGUAAAAGAGAGUAAUGUGUAAAGAGUAAUGCGACAUUAGUAAAGAAUUUGAUUUAAUAGACCUUAACGGCGAAACCCGAGAUUUUUAUUACAAGAAAAAUAUCUUCGAAAAGCGUACAAGAGAGUAAAGUGUAAAGAGUAAUGCGAUAUUAGUAAAGAAUUUGAUUUAAUAGACCUUAACGGCGAAACCCUAGAUUUUUAUUACAAGGAAAAUAUCUUCGAAAAGCGUACAAGAGAGUAAAGUGUAAAGAGUAAUGCGAUAUUAGUAAAGAAUUUGAUUUAAUAGACCUUUGAUUUAAUAGACCCUAACGAUGAAACCCUAGAUUUUUAUUACAAGAAAAAUAUCUUCGAAAAGCGUAAAAGAGAGUAAUGUGUAAAGAGUAAUGCGACAUUAGUAAAGAAUUUGAUUUAAUAGACCUUAACGGCGAAACCCGAGAUUUUUAUUACAAGAAAAAUAUCUUCGAAAAGCGUACAAGAGAGUAAUGUGUAAAGAGUAAUGCGAUAUUAGUAAAGAAUUUUAUUUAAUAGACCUUAACGGCGAAACCCAGGAUUUUUAUUACAAGAAAAAUAUCUUCGAAAAGCGUACAAGAGAGUAAAGUGUAAAGAGUAAUGCGAUAUUAGUAAAGAAUUUUAUUUAAUAGACCUUAACGGCGAAACCCUAGAUUUUUAUUACAAGGAAAAUAUCUUCGAAAAGCGUACAAGAGAGUAAAGUGUAAAGAGUAAUGCGAUAUUAGUAAAGAAUUUUAUUUAAUAGACCUUAACGGCGAAACCCUAGAUUUUUAUUACAAGGAAAAUAUCUUCGAAAAGCGUACAAGAGAGUAAAGUGUAAAGAGUAAUGCGAUAUUAGUAAAGAAUUUGACUUAAUAGACCUUAACGACGAAACCCUAGAUUUUUAUUACAAGAAAAAUAUCUUCGAAAAGCGUACAAGAGAGUAAAGUGUAAAGAGCAAAGCGAUAUUAGUAAAGAAUUUUAUUUAAUAGACCCUAACGACGAAACCCUGGAUUUUUAUUACAAGAAAAAUAUCUUCGAAAAGCUUACACGAGAGUAAAGUGUAAAGAGUAAAGCGAUAUUAGUAAAGAAUUUGAUUUAAUAGACCUUAACGGCGAAACCCUAGAUUUUUAUUACAAGAAAAAUAUCUUCGAAAAGCGUACAAGAGAGUAAAGUGUAAAGAGUAAUGCGAUAUUAGUAAAGAAUUUGAUUUAAUAGACCUUAACGGCGAAACCCAGGAUUUUUAUUACAAGAAAAAUAUCUUCGAAAAGCGUACAAGAGAGUAAAGUGUAAGGAGUAAUGCGAUAUUAGUAAAGAAUUUUAUUUAAUAGACCUUAACGGCGAAACCCAGGAUUUUUAUUACAAGAAAAAUAUCUUCGAAAAGCGUACAAGAGAGUAAAGUGUAAGGAGUAAUGCGAUAUUAGUAAAGAAUUUUAUUUAAUAGACCUUAACGGCGAAACCCAGGAUUUUUAUUACAAAAAAAAUAUCUUCGAAAAGCGUACAAGAGAGUAAAGUGUAAAGAGUAAUGCGAUAUUAGUAAAGAAUUUGAUUUAAUAGACCUUAACGACGAAACCCAGGAUUUUUAUUACAAGGAAAAUAUCUUCGAAAAGCGUACAAGAGAGUAAAGUGUAAAGAGUAAUGCGAUAUUAGUAAAGAAUUUGAUUUAAUAGACCUUAACGGCGAAACCCAGGAUUAUUAUUACAAGAAAAAUAUCUUCGAAAAGCGUACAAGAGAGUAAAGUGUAAAGAGUAAUGCGAUAUUAGUAAAGAAUUUGAUUUAAUAGACCUUAACGGUGAAACCCUAGAUUUAUAUUAAAAGAAAAAUAUCUUCGAAAAGCGUACAACAGAGUAAAGUGUAAAGAGUAAUACGAUAUUAGUAAAGAAUUUUAUUUAAUAGACCUUAACGGCGAAAUCCUAGAUUUUUAUUACAAGAAAAAUAUCUUCGAAAAUCGUACAAGAGAGUAAAGUGUAAAGAGUAAUACGAUAUUAGUAAAGAAUUUUAUUUAAUAGACCUUAACGGCGAAACCCUAGAUUUUAUUACAAGAAAAAUACCUUCGAAAAGCGUACAAGAGAGUAAAGUGUAAAGAGCAAAGCGAUAUUAGUAAAUAAUUUUAUUUAAUAGACCUUAACGGCGAAACCCUAGAUUUUUAUUACAAGAAAAAUAUCUUCGAAAAGCGUAAAAGAGAGUAAUGUGUAAAGAGUAAUGCGACAUUAGUAAAGAAUUUGAUAUAAUAGACCUUAACGGCGAAACCCGAGAUUUUUAUUACAAGGAAAAUAUCUUCGAAAAGCGUACAAGAGAGUAAAGUGUAAAGAGUAAUGCGAUAUUAGUAAAGAAUUUGAUUUAAUAGACCUUUGAUUUAAUAGACCCUAACGACGAAACCCUAGAUUUUUAUUACAAAAAAAAUAUCUUCGAAAAGCGUACACGAGAGUAAAGUGUAAAGAGUAAUGCGAUAUUAGUAAAGAAUUUGAUUUAAUAGACCUUAACGACGAAACCCUAGAUUUUUAUUACAAGAAAAAUAUCUUCGAAAAGCGUACAAGAGAGUAAAGUGUAAAGAGUAAUGCGAUAUUAGUAAAGAAUUUUAUUUAAUAGACCUUAACGGUGAAACCCUAGAUUUAUAUUAAAAGAAAAAUAUCUUCGAAAAGCGUACAAGAGAGUAAAGUGUAAAGAGUAAUACGAUGUUAGUAAAGAAUUUGAUUUAAUAGACCUUAACGGCGAAACCCUAGAUUUUUAUUACAAGAAAAAUAUCUUCGAAAAGCGUACAAGAGAGUAAAGUGUAAAGAGUAAUGCGAUAUUAGUAAAGAAUUUUAUUUAAUAGACCUUAACGGUGAAACCCAGGAUUUUUAUUACAAGAAAAAUAUCUUCGAAAAGCGUACAAGAGAGUAAAGUGUAAAGAGUAAUGCGAUAUUAGUAAAGAAUUUUAUUUAAUAGACCUUAACGGCGAAACCCUAGAUUUUUAUUACAAGAAAAAUAUCUUCGAAAAGCGUACAAGAGAGUAAAGUGUAAAGAGUAAUGCGAUAUUAGUAAAGAAUUUGAUUUAAUAGACCUUUGAUUUAAUAGACCCUAACGACGAAACCCUAGAUUUUUAUUACAAAAAAAAUAUCUUCGAAAAGCGUACACGAGAGUAAAGUGUAAAGAGUAAUGCGAUAUUAGUAAAGAAUUUGAUUUAAUAGACCUUAACGGCGAAACCCUAGAUUUUUAUUACAAGGAAAAUAUCUUCGAAAAGCGUACAAGAGAGUAAAGUGUAAAGAGUAAUGCGAUAUUAGUAAAGAAUUUGACUUAAUAGACCUUAACGACGAAACCCUAGAUUUUUAUUACAAGAAAAAUAUCUUCGAAAAGCGUACAAGAGAGUAAAGUGUAUAGAGUAAAGCGAUAUUAGUAACGAAUUUGAUUUAAUAGACCUUAACGGCGAAACCCUAGAUUUUUAUUACAAGAAAAAUAUCUUCGAAAAGCUUACACGAGAGUAAAGUGUAAAGAGUAAAGCGAUAUUAGUAAAGAAUUUGACUUAAUAGACCUUAACGACGAAACCCUAGAUUUUUAUUACAAGAAAAAUAUCUUCGAAAAGCGUACAAGAGAGUAAAGUGUAAAGAGCAAAGCGAUAUUAGUAAAGAAUUUUAUUUAAUAGACCCUAACGACGAAACCCUAGAUUUUUAUUACAAGAAAAAUAUCUUCGAAAAGCGUACAAGAGAGUAAAGUGUAUAGAGUAAAGCGAUAUUAGUAACGAAUUUGAUUUAAUAGACCUUAACGGCGAAACCCUAGAUUUUUAUUACAAGGAAAAUAUCUUCGAAAAGCGUACAAGAGAGUAAAGUGUAAAGAGUAAUGCGAUAUUAGUAAAGAAUUUGAUUUAAUAGACCUUAACGGCGAAACCCUAGAUUUUUAUUACAAGGAAAAUAUCUUCGAAAAGCGUACAAGAGAGUAAAGUGUAAAGAGUAAUGCGAUAUUAGUAAAGAAUUUUAUUUAAUAGACCUUAACGGCGAAACCCUAGAUUUUUAUUACAAGGAAAAUAUCUUCGAAAAGCGUACAAGAGAGUAAAGUGUAAAGAGUAAUGCGAUAUUAGUAAAGAAUUUUAUUUAAUAGACCUUAACGGUGAAACCCAGGAUUUUUAUUACAAGAAAAAUAUCUUCGAAAAGCGUACAAGAGAGUAAAGUGUAAAGAGUAAUGCGAUAUUAGUAAAGAAUUUGACUUAAUAGACCUUAACGACGAAACCCUAGAUUUUUAUUACAAGAAAAAUAUCUUCGAAAAGCGUACAAGAGAGUAAAGUGUAAAGAGUAAUGCGAUAUUAGUAAAGAAUUUUAUUUAAUAGACCUUAACGGUGAAACCCAGGAUUUUUAUUACAAGAAAAAUAUCUUCGAAAAGCGUACAAGAGAGUAAAGUGUAAAGAGUAAUGCGAUAUUAGUAAAGAAUUUGACUUAAUAGACCUUAACGACGAAACCCUAGAUUUUUAUUACAAGAAAAAUAUCUUCGAAAAGCGUACAAGAGAGUAAAGUGUAAAGAGUAAUGCGAUAUUAGUAAAGAAUUUUAUUUAAUAGACCUUAACGGUGAAACCCAGGAUUUUUAUUACAAGAAAAAUAUCUUCGAAAAGCGUACAAGAGAGUAAAGUGUAAAGAGUAAUGCGAUAUUAGUAAAGAAUUUUAUUUAAUAGACCUUAACGGUGAAACCCAGGAUUUUUAUUACAAGAAAAAUAUCUUCGAAAAGCGUACAAGAGAGUAAAGUGUAUAGAGUAAAGCGAUAUUAGUAACGAAUUUGAUUUAAUAGACCUUAACGGCGAAAGCAAAGAUUUAAAAAAAAAAGAAAAAUAUCUUCGAAAUGUGUUAAGAAUUUGAAUAUAUUUCCGAAUAUAACUUUUCUCAGAUUUGUUGUAUAGGUUUCAAUAUUCGAACGUAUCAGUAUAAAUUUGUUUGGGUAUUUAAAAUGUAAUAUAUGUACAGACAUAUCUAUAUAAAUUUAUUUGUUUAUAUUUGUAUAUAAGAUUAUCUUACAUAUCUCACAUUAUUUUAUAUUCUAGCUAAAUAGAAGCCCCUUGUUUUCACAGUAGCAAAAGUAAAUUACUUUAUUUAAUAUUAUAUGUUAGAUAAUUAAUUGUUUGCUAAUUCACCUGUGUAAAUGCGUUUGAAGAAUUGUUUAUUUAUACGUUAUCAAAUUCACAUUAAUACAAAUCGAUUGGUUUAUUCCUAAAUCCUAUUAAUUCGCCAUUUGAUCAAAUGUUCUCCGUGCUUUAUAUCACAUACGAAGAGAGAGCUACACCUGUAGAUAUCUAUAUCGAGAUGUUAUUUUGUAUUUCAAAAUAGAAUUUUCACAUACACAUCUGUAGCUUACCACUUUCCAUAUACUCCUACGUUCAGUGUAUAUUCAUUAAUAUAUCUUAUAAUGGUAGUACUUGUAUAUAUGUAUAAUGUUAUAUUGUUCAGUUAUGCAAUAUUAUUUACUUUGCUACUAUUAAAAGCAUGCGAUUUCGCUGCCGUAGCAAGCACAUUUCCGCAAAUUAUUGCCACUAAACUCAUAAUGUUGCUGUACUCUCGACGUUCACCCACUAAUCAAAUCAUUUUUACCUUUCACAUCGGUGAAAUUUUCAAUCAUGUCUAAUGACUAGUGCAUUAUUUCCGAAAUAUUAUACUUCAAUAUGUGUGAAUAUUAAAUAUGCAGAAAAUGUAUUAAUUUGAGCAAAGAUUUUUUGCUCAGCGCGCAUAUUCAUGCACUUCUACUAAAUGUACUGUGAAAACUGUUGUUUCUAAGAACUGUUAUGUUAUUUUCGAUAUUUUCAAAUUAAAUAUAUAUAUUUGUAUAUAUUCAAUUUCGUUUCUUCUUUACAUACAUACAAACAUAUAAAUAUAGUAGGUAGUCAAAUAGUAUUCGUUAGCAUUCGCUUCUUAAUCAAAGAUACUGUUUCACUUUGAGCAAUAUACACAUAUGGUCAUUUAAAUAGAAUCACUUGCAUCAUAACACCAUUUUACACUGUUGAUGUACUGUAAGAUAUUUAAACUGUCGAACGUUUGUAAGAAAGCAAAAAAUAUUAACCAUUCUGGAAUUAUUUGAAAACACGCUUGUUUGGUUUAGAGUUUACUUACUACUGCUUUGAAUUACGGAAAUAUUAAUCAAUUGAGAGAUGCUGAAAGUAAUUACAAAAUUAAAAAUUUUCUGGAAAGUAUUGCAUGUUGAAAAAUGAGGUAUUUUACGUAACUGGAAUUGCGAAAAGGACAAAGAAAGAAUUAGAUAAUAACACAUAUAUGAUAUAAAAAUAGUUAAUAGAUCCGUACGAUAAAACGAUUGGAUAGAUAAAACGUUGAAACAAAAUUACGAUUAAAUUUGAGAAGUAAAUCAAACAAAAAAGAAGAGCACUUUGUUACGGCACUUCGCUCGAUGAAAAAUUCAAAACCCAAUGCAGAAAUAUAGUGAGACUUUUUAUUCCAAACUUUCAAGGAACAGAAUUACUUGGGAGUGUAAAGUACUGAACAUUAAAAGUUUAUAAUGCCGAGCAGAAAACAACAUUGUCUCAAGAAAUAAUUAUUCGAGUUGACAUAAGUGAAUUCAGAGAAAAUUACUUUGUUCUUUUAUCAGUAAAUACUUCUAUCUACGAAAAGAUAUAUCCAUUUGCUAUAGCUUAUUAAAUCCGAGUAACGGAGAGACAACGGCGCUGUCCUAAAGUUGAAAGCAGUUUAAGAAAAAUUUUUUUUGGAAAGGAGCAAUGAUUUACAAAUUGAAAAAGACACCAUACGUAUCAAGAAAAAUUAAUAUUUUGUCCGGAACUCUUGAAAAUCAUGGAUAACUACUCGCUGAACAGAAGUACCAAAGAAAAUUUCAGGCAGUAACAUGUUAAAUGGAUGAAAGCUUAUUAUAGACCGAUUAAAGGAUUGUUUGGCUUGAAUAAGUUGGUACACAAUUGUACUUCAAACUCUAAAAAAUUAUCGCUGAAUUACAAAGAUACUCAGAAUUAGAAAAUUCAAAUGUUGCCGAAGAAAUCGGGCACUUUUUUAAGGCAUGGCCUUUAACUAAAUUAAAAUAUAUGAAAACUGCAUGUUGUUUAAAAUAUGUAAUAUAUUUUCUCAUGAAUGUCAAAAGAAGAAUAAGGAAAAAUUUCGCUUACAUAAAUUGGGACGGGUCCUGAACAUUUCAUUAAUAUAUGUAAAUCAAUGGAUUAUCAUGCAUGUCGCUAAAAUAAACCGAGCACUUGUAAAAAGUAGUGAGUGUUAUAUGAACGCGUGAAUAUUUGUUUGGCCAUAUUUGUUUAAACUACAUUUAAAUUUAAAUUUAAAUUAUAAUAAUUGCAUAUUGUUUUCAUAUAAAAAAAUAACUGUUACUUAGUAACCAAAUAUAUCAAAUACCCAAAAUUACCCACUAGCAAAUUAUUUAAAUAAUUAAAAACAGUUUCUUCUAUGCAAAUUUCCUCUAUUUUUACUAACUUCUUUUGUUUAUAAAAAACUUACAAAAUUAAUAAUUCUUAAGUAACAAAAGUUUUGCUCAAACCUAAUUUUGAUAUUGGCAAAAAUUAUGAAUUUUCGCUUAUUCUACAGCUCUCUGAGCUACCUAUUUUCUGAAAAAAAAAAAUUCAAUUACAAUUUAAUAUUUUUGUUUCAAUUGAAACACAGUGCUCUUCUGUAUAACCUCAAUUUCAUCAGUACUCUUCAUUCAAUAAUCUGUAAUUGAUCAAAAUCGAAAAUUUAUUAUUCAAUUUGUUUUAAUGUAAAUUUUUUUCGGGGUGAGGUUCUUCACUAGUCUCAAAUAAUUAUAUUUCCUACAAAAAAUAUUCAAGAAAAAAUAUAUUUUCUGUGGUUUUCUCAACUCCACAAAAAUGAAUCUCCCCCACCAAAAUAUAUAAACAAAGAGAUCAAUAUUGCACUUGCAUUGAAAACUGUUAAGCGAACAUGGAUGACAGUCGUGAACGCAGUAAUCAACCACUGAAGAAAGAAACCCGUGAACGAAGAAGAAGAAUCCAAACGAAGAGGCGAAUUCUAGUACUAGCUGGGGCUGAUGUCCAAAGAAGAUUUUCAUUAAGUUAUUCCCAGUAACAUGGACGAGGAAGCAUACCAUUUUUGGGGAUUCCAUCAGAUAUUCAAAAGCAAGACUACGUGCAUGAAGAUAAUCUCGAGUUGAUAUGUCUUGAGACAUAUGUUUAUAUAAUAUUUCAAUGAAUAGUUCUGUAAAUUUAAAUUGGAAUUUGCUUGAUAAAUAAGUUUAAUAAUCUUAUCUUGAAUAAAUAAUUUAAUGUUCUGUAUAAAACAAAAAAAAAAAUUGUGUUUUCUCUAAACGGUUCUAUUAUAAGGUAAGUAAAAUUAUAAAGACUACCUAGACUAUGUCUACCGAUAUGGAUGGCGUGAUUUUGAAAGAUCGUGGCGUCACGUUUUACUUAGGUACUACGCUUAAAAAUUGCCCAAGAUUAUUAUGCAAAUUCACGUUUUUCUGAACGCCCUUUUUCACGCUUUUCAAAUUACAAGUGGUUAUAAUCUCCACGAUUAUGUGCCACCUUCCGGUCAAGGAAAAGCCCGUAGUAAAAGAUAUAUCGCUACCGUUCAGGCCAGCGCUUAUGCCAAUUCUAACACUAUACGUCACAACUGAGUAUUAAACCAAACGAAUUUUUCACAGAAGAAUGAGUCAUAAGUAAAAAAAAAUGUAUUCUCCGAUUUUCGAAGUUAGGCUCCAAAUAUUUGGAUUUUAAGUUCUAAAAAGGUCAAAGUUUGAUCUUUGAAAAAAAAAGUAUAUCGAAAAAUGCUGGAAAAAGGCAUCACCGUGACUUAUUUCCUUCGAAAUGUUUUUCCCCGGAGUUUAAAAUCAACGGGGACAAUGUAUAUCCAACAAGACAGUGCGCCACUUCAUAGUUCACGUCUAAACAUGGGCACAUUGCGUGCACAUCUUGGCGACUGUAUUACGAGAAAUAAGCCAACCAAAUGGCCGCCAAGAUUAUGCGAUUUAUCGCCUCUAGAUUAUUUUCUAAAGGGUGGAGAUAUUGAAAAGGAGUCCAUACAAUUAUCUGCAUAACGAAAACAAUAUAGAAAACUUUUUCACCAAAUUUGAUAUUUUAUUUAAUUUUAACAUCACAUCGUUCUUGUUGGUAGACCCUAAGUUCUUUUAAUUACUUUUUUAUUAAAUUUAAUUUCUAAUUUAAUUACUGAGGAAUUACCUAAUAUCCCUUAAGGCAGUAUCCUGCUUUACAGGCUUCAAAAAAUCGACUCUUUUGUUUUGUUUUAAAUCUCUUCCAAAAAAAAAAAAAAAAAUGUCUUUAAAAUUCCAGAGGCCAAUUCGAAAUAUUUUCGAAGCUAGAGCAGUUUUAGUGGCCGAGCGUCGAGCAGGUGCGAAUGCUUAGGCAAACCUUUAAAGCGCGUUUUCUCGAGUUUUCAUUUUCACAAGUGUUAGAAAACGGUGCCGGCGAUAGCAAAAAUAAUAUAUGUCCGAUCGAAAAAAACCAAAGUGAUCUAGCUUCAGUAUUAAAUUAUCUUCUAUUUGAACCACAAAAGUAAACUUCUUGUUUUGCAACUUAAAGUCACUUUUUUUUUUUAAAAAGUGAAUUUUUUUUUGAAUCUUCGAAAAAAUUUGGAAUUUUAUAACUUCUUCGGUAUUUUUUUAGUUCAUAAAGAAAAGAAACUUCUAAAAAUUAAAAAAAAAAACAAUUGGUUCGACCGUUUCAGAUGCAUCGCACGACCUCCAUCGCCGGCACCGAUUUACAAGUGCAGACUCCAGGCGCUCCAGAAAAAUACUUACAACUUUCAAUAUUUUUUAAUGAUAAAUCUUUCAUUUCCUUCCCCUUCAAAAAAAAAAUUGCUCAAAAAAAACGCUUUUUUUGGCUUCUAAAGCAGACUACUGCCUUAAUUACUGAUUUACUUAAUUUCUUUUUUUCAAGCCAUCCACGUUAAAUUGAAACACCGUUUUAUAUAUUUAGUGAUUUCAGUUUUCUUUAUUUUCUUCGUCGAUGUUAAAUGUACAUACCACACGUACAUACACAUACACAUAUAUGUACAAUAUGUAUGUAUGUAGUAGUAUUUCAAAUUUAAAUCAUAUUCACUAUGUAAACGAACAAAAAUGUAAAGUAAAAAAUGUGUGCAUACAUACCAACCAUUUUGUUUAAAUGUGCUUACAAGCAUACAUACAUAUUUUUAGUAUAUACUAAACACUAAUUUUGUUUAAGCGAUAAUCUCAUUAAUUAUAGUAUAAUCUCUAGUCCUAUAUCACCGCACAAUUGUCUUAAACUGUUAAAUUGUAUCAUAUAACUACAUGCCUUAUGCGAUAUACAUUUGCGCCAUUUGUGCCUACACAAAUGUGCACAUGCGCAUACAUACAUACAUACAGACAGGCAUACAUAUGAAUUGAUACGCAUGUAUGUUUGUAUGUAUGCACUUGUGUGCAAUAGUGUUGAAAUAAAAAGAUGACACACUCGGUUCAAACCAUUUUAGUUGCUUAUCCGUUUCGUAUUUUCUAUGUAUCGCUUUACAUAACUUGCAAAAUUGCUGUCUCUUCUUCUGCUUCUACAUUUUUAUUACUCAUAGCUUUACUUUACAUUUUUGUAAAAUUUAUUUGUAUUCAUAUUAUAAAGUUAAUUAUUAUUUAUAACUUACUGUUAAAUCCAACUAUGACCUACAUAUGUUUGUAUAUAUG